AGGACGAACGCUGGCGGCGUGCUUAACACAUGCAAGUCGAGCGAGGCCCUUCCUUCGGGAAGGUGCCCUAGCGGCGAACGGGUGAGUAACACGUGGGCAACCUGCCCCUAGCACUGGGAUAAGCCCGGGAAACCGGGUCUAAUACCGGAUAUGACCUUCGAGGGCAUCCUUGAAGGUGUAAAGGAUUCUGGCUAGGGAUGGGCCCGCGGCCUAUCAGCUUGUUGGUGGGGUAAUGGCCUACCAAGGCGACGACGGGUAGCCGGCCUGAGAGGGCGACCGGCCACACUGGGACUGAGACACGGCCCAGACUCCUACGGGAGGCAGCAGUGGGGAAUCUUGCACAAUGGGCGAAAGCCUGAUGCAGCGACGCCGCGUGAGGGAUGACUGCCUUCGGGUUGUAAACCUCUUUCAGCAGGGACGAAGCGAAAGUGACGGUACCUGCAGAAGAAGCACCGGCAACUACGCGCCAGCAGCCGC
rnacentral:rRNA from 1 species